UCGGAUUUUCCUUCCCUCCAAACGCCAUUCCUACUGUUCUUUCUUUUUCACUUUUAUUUUCCGGGAAAGUUGGAGGAAGUUUUACAGGUUUUUAUGUUUGGCGCCCGGUGGUCUAAAAACUUUGGUGUCGUUUUCUCCGGGAAGUUCAUUUUCCCUGGAGAAUUUCACCUCCGAAUUUGCCUUCCGCCCGCUUCUUCUCUGAAUCAGGCC
rnacentral:misc_RNA from 1 species